UAUUCAAAUUGAAAUACAUUGUAUUGGUGUAAUUUUGCUUGCUUGUUGAUUAGCAAGUUUUAAUGGAAAUAGAAAAUAAUGGUUAUCUAGACAAAUGUGCUCUUGUUUUAAGUAUAUUUUUAUAACUCUUUUGUAAUGUCUUUGUUAUCAGAGUCCUUCAAAUUAGAAUAGUGAUGAUGAUCUUGUCAAUGCUGAGAUUUUCAUGCAUCAACAGCCACUACAUCUGGAUCAGAUUGAACAAGAAACAGACAGCAAGGGUUGUCAAGUCAGAAACAGAAUGACACACAAACACAAGAAACUUCACAGGCAGAUCAACAUGCAAUUUGAAGACGUGUGAUAAAAUACAGAGAGGUGAAGUAGUGUGUCUUUCCAGAUCCCCAAAUCAUUCCCCCUUAAAAGGCCUGAAGAGGAGAUUUGGGAAGAUGCUGUUUCAUAAGUCGCUUUGCCAGAUCACCUGUGGUCGGGAUGUCUGCUAACAAGAUGCCUUGCUGGUCUGAGCGAGUUUAAAGGCUUACACAGACAGUCCAGAAGUUCUGAAGUCCAUCUUCGAUUUCAUUGGACGAUUUAAGGUGUAGAAACAUCUCAGCAACCUCAAGAGAAAUUGGAGGCAACUGAGCUAAAUUGCAGAUGAUGUUGCAAAGGGUCUGAAUAUGUAUAAUAUGCUGUCAUCGUAUUAAGUACAGCAUGAGCCAGAAUAGAUGGGUGGUGGUGGCCAUAAGAAGACUGUCAACUAAACCAACAACAAAAUUCAUAUUUGCAGUUUUUCUUGAAUAAAGUUUUUCUAUUCAGAUGAAUAAAAUGACUUUUAAACAUGA